rnacentral:rRNA from 1 species
AGUGAACGCUGGCGGCAGGCCUAACACAUGCAAGUCGAACGGUAACACAGUACGCGUUUGCGCUUUCCUGUCGCGUGUCGCGCACGGGUGAUGAAUCCUUCGGACUCUACUUUUUCGUGGGGUAUCACCUCGAGACAGUUUCUCUAAUCCCGUAUCCUCCCUACGGGUGAGAGCGGGAGCUUUUCGGCCCUUGCGCUCUUUUGUGACCAGAUGUCGGUUUAGAUCGUUGGCGGGGUAAAGGCCCAUCAAGGCGACGAUCCGUAGCUGGUGUGAGAGGAUGAUCAGCCACACUGGAACUGAGACAAGGUCCAGACUCCUACGGGAGGCAGCAGUGGGGAAUAUUGGACAAUGGGCGCAAGCCUGAUCAAGCCAUGCCGCGUGGGUGAAGAAGGCCUUCGGGUUGUAAAGCACUUUUGUUGGGAAAGAAGAGCAGAAGGUUAAUACCCCGCUGUUCUGACGGUACCCAAAGAAGAAGCACCGGCUAACUUCGUG